rnacentral:hammerhead_ribozyme from 1 species
AUCCAGCUGAAUAAUUCCAAAUAGGAUGAAACGCACUUCAUGGAU